GACGAACGCUGGCGGCGUGCUUAACACAUGCAAGUCGAACGGAAAGGCCCUGCUUUUGUGGGGUGCUCGAGUGGCGAACGGGUGAGUAACACGUGAGUAACCUGCCCUUGACUUUGGGAUAACUUCAGGAAACUGGGGCUAAUACCGGAUAGGAGCUCCUGCUGCAUGGCGGGGGUUGGAAAGUUUCGGCGGUUGGGGAUGGACUCGCGGCUUAUCAGCUUGUUGGUGGGGUAGUGGCUUACCAAGGCUUUGACGGGUAGCCGGCCUGAGAGGGUGACCGGCCACAUUGGGACUGAGAUACGGCCCAGACUCCUACGGGAGGCAGCAGUGGGGAAUAUUGAAAAAUGGGCGGAAGCCUGAUGCAGCACCGCCGCGUGCGGGAUAACGGCCUUCGGGUUGUAAACCGCUUUCGCCUGUGACGAAGCGUGAGUGACGGUAAUGGGUAAAGAAGCACCGGCUAACUACGUG
rnacentral:rRNA from 1 species